AGCAGCCGCGGUAAUUCCAGCUCCAAUAGCGUAUAUUAAAGUUGUUGCAGUUAAAAAGCUCGUAGUUGAACUUCGGGGUUUACUCAUUGGUCAGGCUUAAUUGUCUGUACUGGUGAGAUGAAUCUCUACCUUCUGAGGAACUUUCAUGCCAUUUAUUUGGUGUGGUUGGAAAUCAGGACUGUUACUUUGAAAAAUUAGAGUGUUUAAAGCAGGCUAACGUCUGAAUACAUUAGCAUGGAAUAAUGAAAUAGGACGGAUUGAUUCUAUUUCGUUGGUUUCUAGGGUCACCGUAAUGAUUAAUAGGGAUAGUUGGGGCAUUAGUAUUCAAUUGUCAGAGGUGAAAUUCUUGGAUUUAUUGAAGACUAACUACUGCGAAGGCAUUUGCCAAGGAUGUUUUCAUUAAUACAAGAACGAAAGUUAGGGGAUCGAAGACGAUCAGAUACCGUCGUAGUCUUAACCAUAAACUAUAGCCGACUAGGGAUCGGACGAAGUUAA
rnacentral:rRNA from 1 species